UACGGAGGGUGCGAGCGUUGUUCGGAAUCACUGGGCGUAAAGGGCGUGUAGGCGGUCCGCUAAGUCUGAUGUGAAAGCCCGGGGCUCACCCCCGGAAGGGCAUUGGAAACUAACGGACUCGAGUCCCGAAGAGGAGGGUGGAAUUCCUGGUGUAGCGGUGAAAUGCGUAGAUAUCAGGAGGAACACCGGUGGCGAAGGCGGCCCUCUGGACGGUGACUGACGCUGAGACGCGAAAGCGUGGGGAGCAAACAGG
rnacentral:rRNA from 1 species